UACAGAGGUCUCGAGCGUUGUUCGGAUUCAUUGGGCGUAAAGGGUGCGUAGGUGGCGCUGUAAGUCGGGUGUGAAAUCCUGAGGCUUAACCUCGGAACUGCAUUCGAUACUGCGGCGCUUGAGGACUGGAGAGGAGACUGGAAUUCCUGGUGUAGCGGUGAAAUGCGCAGAUAUCAGGAGGAACACCGGUGGCGAAGGCGGGUCUCUGGGCAACAACUGACGCUGAGGAGCGAAAGCGUGGGGAGCGAACAGG
rnacentral:rRNA from 1 species